rnacentral:rRNA from 2 species
UACGGAGGGAGCUAGCGUUGUUCGGAAAUACUGGGCGUAAAGCGCACGUAGGCGGCGCAGCAAGUCAGGGGUGAAAUCCCGGGGCUCAACCCCGGAACUGCCCUUGAAACUGCAGUGCUAGAAUUCUGGAGAGGCGAGUGGAAUUCCGAGUGUAGAGGUGAAAUUCGUAGAUAUUCGGAAGAACACCAGUGGCGAAGGCGACUCGCUGGACAGACAUUGACGCUGAGGUGCGAAAGCGUGGGGAGCAAACAGG